UUAUUGAUAUUUGUUAACAAAAGAAUUGUAUUCAGUCUGAGAACAGUAUACCUAACAAUAUAUAUGUUCAUGAUUCAGUCAAUCACGAAUGAAUGCAGUAUGACUAGUCUUAGAGUAUAAAUAAAUGAACUUGUAAAUCCGUUUCAUAAUUUACAGUUCGUACAUCAUUGUUUUUAUUAAUUUCAAGCUGAAUAUUUUAUCAAAAUAAAACGUUUCAGCUUGUUUUUAUUAUUAAUCCAUCAAAAGACAAGUAUCACAAUAAUCAGUGAUCCGAAUUAUUUUGUCAUUGAACAAUUAAUGAUCCUAAACAAGUCAUAAACUUUUAAAUAUUUCAAUGUUUCCAUUAAUUUCAAGAAUAUACAUGAUAUAUACUAUAGAAAUAUCUGAAUAAGUUUAUUCAACUUCUUAAUAUUUUUAUAGUAGGGCGAACGGACUCUAUUGGCGAAUGAACUCAGAGCGAACGGACCUAGGGCGAACGGUCCCGAUACCUAGGACUGAGGGGGCAGGGUCAACUUACCUCCCAAAAUUUAUCAUAUGGAUAAUGCAUCAAAAUACCUUCAUUACACAUUAUUUUCAACUAAAUUGAGAAAACAGUUUUAGCAAAUGGACAAAAAAAAACAGCCUUUUUUCUGCCUCUGCCCAUGGACCAAAAGGUCGGAAACAAUAGGUCAACAUCAUCAGAAUUGCAACUGCUGAUUGGUGUCUGACAGCCAGUUUAUUUGUCCGAAGAGGUCGAAAUUAUAUGUUAUUUAAUGGUUAACUUAAACGACUGUAUUUUAAUAUGUCUCCUAUCACCACUACAUUUUGGUGAUGUUACCAAGUUGUAGUGGCGAUAGGAGACAUAUCUAAUUGGUUUGACAAACAUUUGUUUAAGCAGGACAGUGUAAGUCAUACGUCACUAUUGAGACACUUCAAAAUUAUCACCACAGUUAUCAAAGCGAUUUUAAAUGACCAAACCCUGACAUAUGUUUCUUCAUACAUCAAAGACGAAGAGCCUUUGAUAUCAUCACAUCUGUUAUACAGAAAGAAAAUAAACACAACUCCGUAUCCACAAUCAGAUGUUCAAGAUACAGCAAAUAUUGCAGAGUAAAAUCGGAAAUCUUGAAAUAUGCAACUAGAGAAACAUACUAGACAAAUUUUUAGAAUUGUUGGAAAAAGGAAUAUCUCACGAGAGAGCAAUCAACACGGGUGAUGUCGUUUAUAUUCAGGCAAUGUUACCAUAAGCAAAUGGAAACUAACAAUCGUUGGGGAACUGGUGACGGGAAACAAUGGACAUGUCAGAUCUGCCAUAAUGAGAACUAGCACAGGAGGACACACACGCGACCCAUUGUUAUUAAAACUGUAACCAAUUAAAGUGAAUGGACGAGCUAACGAUUUUAUGUUAUUGUACUUUUGUUUGUCAUCCUCCGUACCUCAAUGAUGUUAUCUUGGAACUGGUGACGGGAAACAAUGGACAUGUCAGAUCUGCCAUAAUGAGAACUAGCACAAGGACACACACGCGACCCAUUUUUAUUAAAACUGUAACCAAUUAAAGUGAAUGGACAAGCUAACGAUUUUAUAUUAUUGUACUUUUGUUUGUCGUCCUUCGUACCUCAAUGAUGUUAUCUUGGGCAGAAUUUGAAAUUAUAUAAUAUUAAAUGAUUAAUUUGAGCGACUGUAUUUUAAUAUGUUUCCUAAUGCCACUUCAUAUUAAAGCACUUCUGGAAGAGAAGAUUUUUAAACAGUUUACAGAUUACUUACACCAAAGUGAUAGCUAAAGUUCUCAUUUGAUGAACUAAAAAAAAACUUUAG
rnacentral:lncRNA from 1 species